GGGGGCGUGGUGUAGUUGGUUUAACAUAUCGGCCUGUCAAGCCGAAGAUCGCGGGUUCAAGUCCCGUCGCUCCCG
rnacentral:tRNA from 1 species